ACUUGCCUAAUACAUGCAAGUCGUACGCUAGCCGCUGAAUUGAUCCUUCGGGUGAAGUGAGGCAAUGACUAGAGUGGCGAACUGGUGAGUAACACGUAAGAAACCUGCCCUUUAGUGGGGGAUAACAUUUGGAAACAGAUGCUAAUACCGCGUAACAACAAAUCACACAUGUGAUCUGUUUGAAAGGUCCUUUUGGAUCGCUAGAGGAUGGUCUUGCGGCGUAUUAGCUUGUUGGUAGGGUAGAAGCCUACCAAGGCAAUGAUGCGUAGCCGAGUUGAGAGACUGGCCGGCCACAUUGGGACUGAGACACUGCCCAAACUCCUACGGGAGGCUGCAGUAGGGAAUUUUCCGCAAUGCACGAAAGUGUGACGGAGCGACGCCGCGUGUGUGAUGAAGGCUUUCGGGUCGUAAAGCACUGUUGUAAGGGAAGAAUAACUGAAUUCAGAGAAAGUUUUCAGCUUGACGGUACCUUACCAGAAAGGGAUGGCUAAAUACGUGCCAGCAGCCGCGGUAAUACGUAUGUCCCGAGCGUUAUCCGGAUUUAUUGGGCGUAAAGCGAGCGCAGACGGUUUAUUAAGUCUGAUGUGAAAUCCCGAGGCCCAACCUCGGAACUGCAUUGGAAACUGAAGGAUUA
rnacentral:rRNA from 1 species